rnacentral:rRNA from 1 species
UACGUAGGUGGCAAGCGUUGUCCGGAUUUAUUGGGUUUAAAGGGUGCGUAGGCGGCCUUUUAAGUCAGUGCUGAAAUACUCUAGCUUAACUAGAGGGGUGGCAUUGAUACUGAAAGGCUUGAGUGAAGUCGAGGUAGGCGGAAUUGACGGUGUAGCGGUGAAAUGCUUAGAUAUCGUCAAGAACACCGAUAGUGAAGACAGCUUACUAGACUUCAACUGACGCUGAGGCACGAAAGUGUGGGGAUCAAACAGG